rnacentral:rRNA from 1 species
AUUGAACGCUGGCGGCAGGCUUAAACCAUGCAAGUCGAACGAGUGGCGGACGGGUGGGUAAUGUCUGGGAAACUGCCUGAUGGAGGGGGAUAACUCCUGGAACCGGUAGCUAAUACCGCAUACCAUCGGAUGUGCCCAGAUGGGAUUGGCUAGUAGGGGGGGUAAAGGCUCACCUAGGCGACGAUCCCUAGCUGGUCUGAGAGGAUGACCAGCCAAACUGGAACUGAGACACGGUCCAGACUCCUACGGGAGGCAGCAGUGGGGAAUAUUGCACAAUGGGCGCAAGCCUGAUGCAGCCAUGCCGCGUGUAUGAAGAAGGCCUUCGGGUUGUAAAGUACUUUCAGCGGGGAGGCGUUACCCGCAGAAGAAGCACCGGCUAACUCCGUGCCAGCAGCCGCGGUAAUAC